GCAGGAGUCAAACCGACAACCUGAAGCAGCCACUCACCUGUCCGGGACACUGAAGGAAGGAGCUGGUAAUCAGUCACUGUGCGUUUUGCUGUCUAUUGGUCUGUGUUACACUUAUUCAGUGCUGUCUCUGGUGUUCAGUUCACUCGCCUUCCAAUGUUAUUUCUGGCAGAGUGUGAGCGGUGAGAUUGUGUGAUCGGAGCCACAGACACAACUCUCGUGAGAGACGCUGCCUAAAUCUGCGAGCACUUCCCGGAUUCUCUGAUUUUACCCCAGGAAACUGUCUGGAGAAUCUUCAAUGCACUCCCUCUACAGAAAGUGCACCUUUCAUUAGGUACCCACGAUGAUCACACACUGACUGUACUUGAAACACACGGUGCCAAGACAACAAGAGGAUCGUCAGUCAGAGCCAAUGAAGUGACCAGCCCUUUAAUCCCAGGAUAGGAACUCCAGCACUCCA